AGAGAAAUUGGUGAAGUUACUGCUAAUAAUUUUGUGUCAAUUGAUUUUGACUUUCUCUU
rnacentral:tRNA from 1 species